ACAAUGGGCGAAAGCCUGAUGGAGCAACGCCGCGUGAGUGAAGAAGGAUUUCGGUUCGUAAAACUCUGUUGUAAGGGAAGAACAAGUACAGUAGUAACUGGCUGUACCUUGACGGUACCUUAUUAGAAAGCCACGGCUAACUACGUGCCAGCAGCCGCGGUAAUACGUAGGUGGCAAGCGUUGUCCGGAAUUAUUGGGCGUAAAGCGCGCGCAGGUGGUUUCUUAAGUCUGAUGUGAAAGCCCACGGCUCAACCGUGGAGGGUCAUUGGAAACUGGGAGACUUGAGUGCAGAAGAGGAUAGUGGAAUUCCAAGUGUAGCGGUGAAAUGCGUAGAGAUUUGGAGGAACACCAGUGGCGAAGGCGACUAUCUGGUCUGUAACUGACACUGAGGCGCGAAAGCGUGGGGAGCAAACAGGAUUAGAUACCCUGGUAGUCCACGCCGUAAACGAUGAGUGCUAAGUGUUAGGGGGUUUCCGCCCCUUAGUGCUGCAGCUAACGCAUUAAGCACUCCGCCUGGGGAGUACGGUCGCAAGACUGAAACUCAAAGGAAUGAACGGUCA
rnacentral:rRNA from 1 species